CCACUAUUUUUUAUAAAUAAAGAAUGUAUGUUGUGAAAUACAGUAGAUUAUGACCCCAACAACUUAUAUUUUGCAACUACUAUUUGGACCUACAAGGAAUCAAAAGAAAGCAGGAAAUGAGCCACCAACUUAGUCAUUAGAGCUUGCUGGUUAAUCAUCAAUGAUUUGAUACCUAAUCUUCCUUGAUCCUUUUGAGCACAAACCACCUAUCA
rnacentral:lncRNA from 1 species